ACUCCUACGGGAGGCAGCAGUGGGGAAUAUUGCACAAUGGGCGCAAGCCUGAUGCAGCCAUGCCGCGUGUAUGAAGAAGGCCUUCGGGUUGUAAAGUACUUUCAGCGGGGAGGAAGGCGAUAAGGUUAAUAACCUUGUCGAUUGACGUUACCCGCAGAAGAAGCACCGGCUAACUCCGUGCCAGCAGCCGCGGUAAUACGGAGGGUGCAAGCGUUAAUCGGAAUUACUGGGCGUAAAGCGCACGCAGGCGGUCUGUCAAGUCGGAUGUGAAAUCCCCGGGCUCAACCUGGGAACUGCAUUCGAAACUGGCAGGCUAGAGUCUUGUAGAGGGGGGUAGAAUUCCAGGUGUAGCGGUGAAAUGCGUAGAGAUCUGGAGGAAUACCGGUGGCGAAGGCGGCCCCCUGGACAAAGACUGACGCUCAGGUGCGAAAGCGUGGGGAGCAAACAGGAUUAGAUACCCCAGUAGUCCCAUGA
rnacentral:rRNA from 1 species